rnacentral:lncRNA from 1 species
AAGAGAAGAGAAACAAGACAAGAGAGAACACAAACAAAUAUUAGAUCAAACGCUCUACUCCUUGACCACCUUCAGAAGACUUCAUCAGAAUCUCAGGAACAUCCUUUCUGAAGAAAUAUAUCAAGCAACAACAAUGAAACUAAGUAAAAUCAGCAUGGCAAUGUUCAUAGUUGUGAUGUUGGUAAUAUAUUCCACAGGAGUUAGGGGGUGGUCAAAAUGGUCUAGUCCUGAUUAUGACAGCAAUUGCUUAAACAAUUGUUAUCGACAGUGUCAUUCUUAUAAAGGGUCCUCGUAUGGAGCUUGUGAGAAUGAUUGCAAGCCACCAUGCAGAAAGGCAAAUUAUGGAGAAUUCCAAAAAGUUACAGGAAGUACUCGCUCUAAAAAGGAUCGGGACUAGAUGACUUGGAAAAUUAUGUAAAGGAAAUUCAGAUUUUGGGAAGGUUCAUGAUUAGGCAUGCAAUUGUGAAAUUUUCCUUUCUUCCCUGUAUUUACAUAAUUAUUUGUUUGUUUGUAAUCUUUUGUUUUACAAAUGGCUAAUUGGACUUCAUUCAUUAUUCUUUUUCUUUUCUUUUCUUUUCUCUAAGAUAUUGGAAAUUCAAGCUAAAUUAACCUAACUUAGUAAGGUGAUUGUUAUAAUAAAAAAGUUGUUACUUUUAGCGGAUCGUUUCUCUAAACUUAAAGUAUUAAUUGAAUAAUAAUUAUUUUAAAUUUUUUAGUUAU